rnacentral:rRNA from 1 species
UGGGGAAUUUUGGACAAAGGACGCAAGUCUGAUCCAGCCAUGCCGCGUGCAGGAUGAAGGCCUUCGGGUUGUAAACUGCUUUUGUACGGAACGAAAAGACUCCUUCUAAUAAAGGGGGUCCAUGACGGUACCGUAAGAAUAAGCACCGGCUAACUACGUGCCAGCAGCCGCGGUCAUACGUAGGGUGCGAGCGUUAAUCGGAAUUACUGGGCGUAAAGCGUGCGCAGGCGGUUAUAUAAGACAGAUGUGAAAUCCCCGGGCUCAACCUGGGUACUGCAUGUGUGAGUGUAUAGCUAGAGUGCGGCAGAGAGGGAUAGAAUUCCGCGUGUAGCAGUGAAAUGCGUAGAUAUGCGAAGGAACACCGAUGGCGAAGGCAAUCCCCUGGGCCUGUACUGACGCUCAUGCACGAAAGCGUGGAGAGAAAACA